rnacentral:tRNA from 1 species
GGAUAGCUAGCUUAGUGGUAGAGCAUGUGCUUAGCAUGCAUGAGGUCCUGGGUUCAAUCUCCAGGACCUCCA